AUAUAUUAUGUGACUUGUUAAGCAAAGGUUUACUCCUGAACUUAUUUAGGCUUACCAUAACAAAGGGGUUGAAUACUUAUUGACUCAAGACAUUUCAGCGUUUCAUUUUUAACAAAUUUGUAAACAUUUCAAAAAACAAAUCCAUUUUGACAUUAUGGGCUAUUGUGUGUAGCCCAGUGACACAAAAUCUCAAUUUAAUAUAUUUUAAAUUCAGGCUGUAACACAACAAAUCUGGAAAAAGUCAAGUGGUGUGAAUACUUUCUGAAGGCACUGUAUAAUGCAAAACAUUUAGUGAAAAAAACAUAAUUAGAGUUGAAAAUACAACGGACACCCAUUUAACUUGUGUUUUUUAUUCGGUAUAUAGCGAAAGCUAUUUUUAUGUACACUAUGCCAUCGCACAAUAAGUCAAUUUGAUGGAAACACAUCUCUGGUGGGAAAAUUCGCAAAUUUGAGUUAUGCAGAUUUGUUAAUAUUCUCUUGAAAAUCUGUUGCCAAUUGGAUGGAAACCUAGCUACUAACAAACUCAACUGCCACCCAAUAGCACUGGAACACACCACUACACCAUAGCUCUGCCUUUGUUCAAGCUCCACAAGGCACGACCACAGGAAUCACAGGCAUGUACUGUAGUUUGGGUACACUGUGACACGUUACUACAGGGGAGGAGAGACUUCUGAUGCCACCUGCAUGUCUUCUCUCUCUCUGGCUGGAACCAGUUUCCUUGACACAUCCUAUGACCUUUACGCACACACUCUGGUAAACAGCCACCCUACCCUCUCGCUCACAAGCCUGCCCUGCCCCCACUUCUCUUCUCUUAUAAAACUGAAACUGAUUCCAGACAUGGCUGCCUCACACAGCCACCAGAUGUCUCGUUCCCCUCCUCCCUCAGUCUACUAUGUACUCUGGCUCAGGCUGGUGAAAUAGAUCAUUCCUGCAUCACUAUAAAUAUAUCGGUCAGUACAUCCUUAAGAGGUUAGUAAAGCCCACUGACCGGACAAAACCUGCCUGUGACUGGACGUUUGUGUGAGGGUGGGGUUUUGUGUGAGGCCUCCUUUGACUGCAAUUCAUUUCUCAGAUAGUAUGAUACACAUGUACACUUGCUCCCUCUAUGGACAUAAGAGAUCAGAACAUGACCUAUGGUCUAUAUAUGCAAACUGCAAAGUGGCUGCCCAUGGGAAGUGAUGCAGUCCAGAGGUCUGGCAGGUUACUGUUUGCUGGGCUAUGUGUGAGAUGGUUUAGGUUGUAGGACAAUGGAAGUUAAUAGACCAUGGACAACCUGCCUCCUGGGCUUGUGUAUUUUCCUCUGUUAUGUUUUUAUGUUUUAAUCCUGCAUAGCUUUUAAAGCAAUUUAUUGAUACAAUGUAAUGGAGCAGCAGAAGAUUCUUAAGUUAUGGAAAGAAACAUGCCCUAAAAUAAAUGUUUUUGAAACUGA